GACAGAGGGUGCAAACGUUAUUCGGAAUCACUGGGCUUACAGGGUGCGUAGGCGGCUCAACAAGUCAGGUGUGAAAGCCCCGGGCUCAACCUGGGAACCGCGCUUGAGACUGGAGUACUAGAGUUCGGGAGAGGAUGGUGGAAUUCCCAGUGUAGAGGUGAAAUUCGUAGAUAUUGGGAAGAACACCGAUGGCGAAGGCAGCCAUCUGGACCGACACUGACGUCUGAGGCGCGAAAGCGUGGGGAGCAAACAGG
rnacentral:rRNA from 1 species